UUAAAUGCACCUUACUCAAAUCAUUACGGCCACAAAAUCGAAACUGCCAUUCUGUAGCUAAACUGUUUAAUUAAAUAAUAGUUUUAAAGCCUUUCACCGGAUUAAGAAGUCGUGCAACACAACAAGGUCAAUGGAUUUCGAUUGCUGGAUUCCCUUUAGAGGCCCUAUAUAUUUGAUUCGAAUGCUCCCGAAGACUUCCGUUAGCUAUUUAGCAACGAUAAAGUCCGAGAAAAAACUGGACCCCUGCUGUUGUUUCACUGUUAUCGUGUGCCGAAGUAUCAAUCAGCGGGUGACCAGUUUAGUCCGAGAACUCGUGUGUACAAUGACGUUCCCGAUUCAACUACGGAAUCGUCAUUUGACAGUGACUGUGAAUCUGAAUUGGUCAGUGAAUUAACGGAUGAGAAAAUAAUUAUAAAAAGCAAAAUCGCUCCACGUCGGACAUCUCCCAACGACGAGCGUGAUUGACGGAGUUGCGUUUGAUUUAUAAACAAAAAU
rnacentral:lncRNA from 1 species